GUCGAGCGAGGGCAAGUGCUGUAGCAAUACAGUGCUUGAAUCGAGCGGCGUAAGGGGCAGUAAGGCAUGGGUAACGUACCCCCAGGAUCGGGAUAGCCUAGGGAAACUUAGGGUAAUACCGGGAGACGUGGCGAGGGAGCAUUUUCUUGCCACCAAACGUGUGAAUCGGCCCGGGGAGCGGCUCAUGUGAUAUUAGCUAGUUGGUAAGGUAACGGCUUACCAAGGCGAAGUUGUCUAGCGGGUGUGAGAGCACGACCCGCGCCACUGGCACUGAGACACUGGCCAGACACCUACGGGUGGCUGCAGUCGAGGAUCUUCGGCAAUGGGCGCAAGCCUGACCGAGCGACGCCGCGUGAGGGAUGAAGGCCUUCGGGUUGUAAACCUCUGUCGAAGGGGAGGAAAUGCACGUGGGUACUCCCAUGUGUUUGACCUAUCCUUGGAGGAAGCUUGGGCUAAGUUCGUGCCAGCAGCCGCGGUAAGACGAACCAAGCAAACGUUGUUCGGAAUCACUGGGCUUAAAGGGCGCGUAGGCGGUCUCUCAAGUCCGGGGUGAAAUCUUUCGGCUCAACCGGAAAAUUGCCUUGGAUACUGUGAGGCUCGAGUGAGGUAGGGGUAACGGGAACAUCCGGUGGAGCGGUGAAAUGCGUUGAUAUCGGAUGGAACGCCGGUGGCGAAAGCGCGUUACUGGACCUUUUCUGACGCUGAGUGCGCGAAAGCUAGGGUAGCGAACGGGAUUAAAUACCCCGGUAGUCCUAGCCCUAACGAU
rnacentral:rRNA from 1 species